UUCCCCCUGCCAUGUUCGUGAUAAACGUGUAAUUUUGAGCCAACAUAUCUAAAAAAGGGAGCCGUCUCUUAUUGCGGCAGGCAUGCCCUCUUGAAGGGACGUCUAAAGCAGUAAUAUGGCACCCACCUAGUUGUAACCAGGUUCAAAAUAAACUGUUUACACGGCAUUACGUGGGGGGCAU
rnacentral:other from 5 species